GAUGAACGCUGGCGGCGUGCCUAACACAUGCAAGUCGAACGGAGAUUCCGGACGGAAGUUUUCGGAUGGAAGACUGUAAUUCUUAGUGGCGGACGGGUGAGUAACGCGUGGGCAACCUGCCCUAUACAGGGGGAGAGCGGCUGGAAACGGCUGGUAAGACCGCAUAAGUCGGCGAUACCGCAUGGUGUUGCCGGGAAAUGAGCAAUCAGGUAUAGGAUGGGCCCGCGUCCGAUUAGCAGUUGGCAGGGUAAAAGCCUACCAAAGCAACGAUCGGUAGCCGGACUGAGAGGUCGGACGGCCACAUUGGGACUGAGACACGGACCAAACUCCUACGGGAGGCAGCAGUGGGGGAUAUUGCACAAUGGAGGAAACUCUGAUGCAGCGACGCCGCGUGAGUGAAGAAGUAUUUCGGUAUGUAAAGCUCUAUCAGCAGGGAAGAUGAUGACGGUACCUGACUAAGAAGCCCCGGCUAACUACGUG
rnacentral:rRNA from 1 species